rnacentral:rRNA from 1 species
UUCGCAAUGCCCGAAAGGGUGACGAAGCGACGCCGCGUGUGGGAAGAAGGCCUUCGGGUUGUAAACCACUGUCAGGAGUUAGGAAGUGUAGUGGUGCGAAUAGCGCUACUGCUUGACUAAGGCUCCGGAGGAAGCCACGGCUAACUCUGUGCCAGCAGCCGCGGUAAUACAGAGGUGGCAAGCAUUGUUCGGAAUUAUUGGGCGUAAAGAGCACGUAGGCGGCUAUGCAAGUCGGUUGUGAAAGCCUUCCGCUCAACGGAAGAACGGCAUCCGAUACUGCAUGGCUCGAGUGCGGGAGGGGAGAGUGGAACUUCUGGUGGAGCGGUGAAAUGCGUAGAUAUCAGAAGGAACACCGGCGGCGAAGGCGACUCUCUGGCCCGUAACUGACGCUGAGUGUGCGAAAGCUAGGGGAGCAAACGGGAUUAGAUACCCCGGUAGUCCUAGCCGUAAACGAUGGGCACUAAGUAGAGGGGUUUU